CAAAGCAUGAAUUCCACAAUAUUUCCUUUUAGACUGAAACUGAAAAUUAUUUCUUCCAGAUGCUGCCCAGCCUUCCUUGCACAUUAUACUCUUCGAUGGUGGCUCCACUGCAGAGUUCACGGAAGCCUCCCUGAGGACCUCCAUCCAUUCUUUCUACUGAAUUUGGACAAAUUCUUUCAACAGCAAGAGCAAAUAUUGAACACAACACGUCUUCCUCUCUGAACACUGGAAGUUAUCCCUAACAAAAUACAGUCACGUUUUCUCCCAAG
rnacentral:lncRNA from 1 species